rnacentral:pre_miRNA from 1 species
AAUAGAUGACACCAUUAAUUUUUUCUCACAUGUUUGACCAUUCGUCUUAUUUAAAAAAUUUACAUAAUUAUAAUUUAUUUUGUUAUGAGUUGUUUUAUCACUCAUAGUACUUUAAGUGUGAAUUUAUAUCUUAUAUCUUAUACAUUUGCAUACAAUUUUUGAAUAAGACGAAUGGUCAAACAUAUGAAAAAAAGUUAACGGCGUCAUUUAUU